GCCCGGUUAGCUCAGCUGGGAGAGCAUCGCGUUUACACCGCGGAGGUCGGCGGUUCGAGCCCGUCACCGGGUA
rnacentral:tRNA from 1 species